rnacentral:rRNA from 1 species
UACGAAGGGUGCUAGCGUUGUUCGGAAUCACUGGGCGUAAAGCGCGCGUAGGCGGCUUUUCAAGUCAGAGGUGAAAGCCUGGAGCUCAACUCCAGAAUUGCCUUUGAAACUGGGAAGCUAGAGUGUCGGAGGGGAUAGCGGAAUUCCUAAUGUAGAGGUGAAAUUCGUAGAUAUUAGGAGGAACACCGGUGGCGAAGGCGGCUAUCUGGACGACAACUGACGCUGAGGCGCGAAAGCGUGGGGAGCAAACAGG